CGUCAAACGCGGCACUCCGGGUCCAGCAACGCAUGGUGAGUCUGCAAUAGAAGGAUUCUGCAAUAGAGGGGGUAGAGGAUUCCAUUACAGCCCAAACAAGCUGUUCAAGAAAUACACAACCGCAGAACCUUCUCAGCUUCCGAGCAGGCCCUGCACCCCAACCCAAAAGUACCCAUGGGUGCAGUAAACAUCGUUACACAACUGAAAACAAUCGACUGCACCCCCACAGAUGCUAUCCCCACCACCUUAUCCUGCCUGUGCAGAAAGCCGUCGCGCAACACCAGGUGCCUGUUGGGAAAAUGGGCACCGCCAUGAAGCUGCUCCGUGCAGUAAAGAGCAAGGGGAACGGCUCAGGGCGCACGUACACAUCCAAGUACCGCGGCGUGCAUCAGACCUUCCCCACCAAGCGCUGGGAGGCGCAGUUCCGCCGCAACGGCAAACCCACCUCCCUCGGUAAGAACAAAUCGCUCUCGGGCCGCCCUUACGCAGCCUGUGCCAAUCCUCGGGCCUCCUGCGCGGUGGAUGGAGGGCAGCUCUGCCAAUACGAGCAGGCGCUGCUAUCCGCUGUGUUGCCAUCACCCUGCUGUAGCUCAGGUGUCAGCAUCUCCACUUACUGCCGAUGUAAGCGCGACGUGCAUAGGGAGUGUAGUUGGAGAGGGAGCCCCGUCGCUGGGCCACGUAACAUUACCCCGUCAUCACCCCAGCUUUCUCUGCCUGAAUGCCAAUCCUCUCAAAAUCCAAGCGUCAAAGGGAACGCAUAUGCUGAUCGGAUAUCCGGAUAUCACAACUUUGCAAUUCUGGUGGAUGUGGAUCUGGACACUUCGUCGAAUGAACAGGAGCCAACCAACCUUUGGGUUUUUGUAAUCGC
rnacentral:lncRNA from 1 species